UGCAAACAGACAUGUCUAUUGAUCCUCCGUUCAACUUCAUGACAGAAAAUAUAUCUACUGAUCAAAAGCCUUUCUGCAGAGACCAGUUCUGUCCACGAACAGUGACCAGUCAAUGGGACAUCAAGAACACUUCAGGGAUGGGAACACUGGGCAUGCGAUCCAAGAGGAGAGAGCCAAUUCUCCUGGACCAAGCUUUGAGUCCUUUAAGAGUGACUGGUCAAUGGUUCAUCCUAAAACACAAUUCGGGUAGGAAGGCAUUUCUACUGAUCAAAGAGACCUGCAAGAGAGAUCGGAGUCAGACAUUCCCCGUGGCCGGUCCACGGCAGACAUGUCCUCCAUAUUCAAGUUAGUUGAAGACCAAGUCAUCACAUUUGUAAAGAGUUAAUUGAAGAAGUUCAAGAAGAUUCGGAGUCCAGAUCACCCAGAAUGCUCUAACAGUCAGGGGAAGGGUGGUGGUGUAUGGUGAAGAUGAGAACCAGGAGAGCAGUGCCAGAGAGGGGGCUCUGAAGAUCACACUGCACAUCCUGAGGAACAUGAACCAGAAAGCGCUCACUGACACACUGGAGAACAAUCUUUUAGGUGAGCUUGCUGUGUGUCAACCUAAACUCAACUUUAACAAAAGGAAGUUUGAAUGCGUGUUUGAAGGAAUGGCUACACAAGGAAACCCAACACUUCUCAAUCAGAUCUACACCGAGCUCUACAUUCACAGAGGGUGGAAGUGGAGAGGGCAAUAAUGAACAUGAGGUGAGACAGAUUGAGACAGCAUCCAGGAGAUCAGCAACACAAGAGACACCGUUCAAAAUGCAAUGACAUCUUUGAACCCUUACCUGAGCAAGACAAACCAACAGAACUGUCCUGACAAAGGGAGUUGCUGGCAUUGGCAGAAGUUAAUUCUGGACUGGGCUGAAGGAAAAGCCAAUCAAGAUAUCCAGUUGAUAUUUUCACUUCCUUUUCAAGAGCUGAUUUAAAAAAAAAUGGAAAUAAAAGUCCGCAAUCUCAGACUUCAACAACUAUAAUGUGCUGUUUGUAUUUGAUGGUCUGGUGUGAUGUUUCAAAGUCAACCUCAGUGGAAGUGCUGCUGACAAACCUCAUUCAGGGAAUCUGCUUCCCUAUGCUCACAUCUGGAUAACCUCCCGACCAGCAGCUGCUAGUCACUUUGAAUUUGUAUACCUGAGUUUUUCUCAGUGUACAUUGUGGAUCCUCCAGUAUGGCAGAGUGCAGCUUCACCCCGGAGUCUCCUGGGUGAUUGUAGCUCAGGUCCAGCUUUCUCACAUGAAGGUUUGGACGGCAGCACUUCAGCUGGAGAAGCACAGCCUUCCUUUGCGACUCCACAGACGGACAAACUGCAAAUAAUAUGAAUUUUACACUAAGUUGUUGUUUGGAAGUAGGCUAGAGUGUGAUCCGCCUCGAUCCACAUAGAGUGAAAAUCUAGUAACAAACUGUUUGAUGCUUAAAAUGUGAGUUUACUUUAGUAAUUUUAAUAUCAUAAACUGAUUUUACUAACCUGAAUGUCUGCAGUUUAGACCCUCCAGUCCAGCAGAGCAGCUUCACUCCUGAAUUCUGGUAUGCAAUAUGUAUAUGAUCAUAAUUGAUUGUUGCCCGGCCUUUGUUGUACUGUAUGGGAAGACCUCAAUUGAAUAAUCCUCUCGUCUCGUUCUCAAAGCCCAUUGGAUGAGAAAGCCAGAAGUUU
ensembl:lncRNA